rnacentral:RNase_P_RNA from 1 species
GCGCCAGACGAUCGCAGGCGCGCAAGCGCUUGAGGAAAGUCCGAGCACCGCAGGGCAGGGUGCCGGUUAACUGCCGGUGAAGGCGACUUCAAGGAAAGUGCAACAGAGAUAUACCGCGAAUUCCCCGCAAGGGGAACGCAAGGGUGGAAAGGCGAGGUAAGAGCUCACCCGCGGCCUGGCGACUGGCCCGCGCUGUAAACCCCACCUGGUGCAAGAUUGAUAGGGAAGCAUAUGCGGCGGCCCGUCGCGCUUCCGGGUAAUCGCUUGAGCCUGCUGGCAACUGCAGGCCCAGAUAGAUGAUCGUCCAAUACAGAACUCGGCUUACAGACG